GUAGAGGCUUCAACUUCAGGUCAAACCAGAGUUUGCAUCCAACCAGCUGUGAGGUCUGUGUGUCUGUCUGCUGGGUUAAUUAGUGUGAUCACACUCACCUGUGUCUCUGUUCAUUAGUCUCACUCCUGUCACCUGGUGCCCUGGGUAUAUAUAUCUCUCUCUCCCACUGAGUCCUUGUUUGUUCGUUGUUCAUACAAUGCCAUGUUCACGCUUAGUGUUUAGUUCCUCUGUGUUUCUGCUCUUCAAAUCCAGCCCGGAUGCACUUUAUUAUCUGUUGUCUGUCUGCAGCGGCAAAGCAGGAAUCAGCGACUCAGGGGCUCAGGAGGUGAAUAUACUGCAACAACUUCAUCACCUUCAACAGUUUCGUGUGUUUCACUAAAGUAGUCGAGGAAUCACCGAUGGUGAAAGAUCACUGACUUGACUUCAGUGUCGUGGGAGUGACUGGAGCCAAUCGAAGCACUGGGUGGACGACAGUGGGCUACACACCAGUUCAGCAGUCCACUACAGGGCCAAAUAUUUACCUGGAACACAGACAUAACCUCAAACAGGAAGAUGAAGACACAAGAAAACAAGAGGACGUGCCAGGUGUUUCGAAGGGAGUCACACAUGUAAAUGAAUACUAUGUGAAUACUGUAUAAGGACAGAUACCCCCCCCCCAAAAAAAAAUGAUCAAGGUUGAAGUGUUGACGAUAACUCCAGGAGAUUUUGGAAGAUGACGAAAUUGCAUUUUUUCAACAAAAUGAACACCCAUGGUGCGUCAGCGUCUUUUCAAAGGGGAAAUGAUGACUAACAUCCCACUGAACCUGGAGUCUGACUGAGCACGGAGAAUAAAGAAGUUCUCCUUUUAUUCUUCUGUCUUCUGUCUUCUAUUUUCUCCUUUCUCUUCCCAGCUCUCUUCUCAUCUCCUCUUCUUUCCUCUCCUUCCCUCCUGCUUUUUGUCACAUUUUCCUUUCUCUCUCUCUCUGCUCUUCUUGAUUUGAUUCUCGUCUCCUUUCCUCUCAUACCCAUUAUUUUCUGUCCUUGCUUUCCUCCCCUCUCUUCUUAUCUUCUGUUCUUCUUUCACCUCCUCACAUUGCUCCCUCUUGUUUUUCUCUCCUCCCCUAUUUUUUCACUCCCCCCUUUCCUUCUUUAUCGUCCUAUCCUCUUUCCUAAUUUCUUGCAUUCUCUACUCACUUUUCUCUCCCCCUCUCUUAUCUGCUUUGUGCUCCUCCCAUCUCCUUUUCUUUGGUGUCCUCUCCUUUCCCUUUCCUCCCCUUCGCUCCCUUCUCUUCUCCGUUCUCCUCUCCUCCUUCCUUGCCCCGUUGCGAACAUUUCAUCAUGACUUCAAUUUUUAAUAAAGCCUCUAAAAGCGUUGAACAAAUGGUCACUGACAGCAGCACGACGAGGAUAAAUAAUUUCCUGUUCAUAUUUCCUGCUUGAGAAACUUCACACUUUCUACUCAAGUUAAUUAAAAGAAAUCAGAAAAUGUCAGAAAGUCUCAAUUAAACCUGACACAUUUUUAGGUCUGGUUACAAGGAUGCUGUUAAUUGUCAGUCUAAUUACUAUCAUUUUAUUUUCUUUCAUUUCAAAGGUGAUGGCAGUCAUCGAGCUGGUGUUCUCCUAAAAAAAAGAGAGUCUAAAACAAAGUAAUUUAAAACAUUUAUCAAAGUAAAGUGAUGACAACAACACAAGGGAAGACAUUAGGAGUCAGCAUGUGCCCUGUUUCCCUGUCUGCAUGUGUCGCCUUAUUCAUAAUAAUGGUGCAGUUCUAGGUCAUAUUCUCUUCAGCCACAUCUCGUGUCAUAAAACGGGGGUAAGAUGAGGACAGAAAUGGAAUUAACAACAGUGGUGGAUGAUUUAUGCAGCAGAGCCCUUGUCAGAGACAGGAUAACUGUCUACAACUGUGUCUCUCUGCACUUCAACUGCAGACUACAAGAUGUUUGUGUUAUCACUAUGUGCACAAAACCCAGGUAUUGUACCUUUAUAAUGUUUGCACUGCAGCAUCACUUAUUGGAGUUAGUUUUUCCUAUGUGGAGGAAUUAUGAUUUAGAUUUUUAACGUUCAGCUCUGAUGAGGGGACGUUGAUGGACCAGGGUUUAAAUGAGUUGUUUUAUACUGAAAUCCAAAGUAAAUCACAGAUGAGUCCAAGUGUGUCGUGUUGGGAAGGAUUUUGUCAAGGUUUGAACUAGCACCAAUUGUUGUAGUGUUUCUAUAAAAGCUCUUCUGACUAGUCUACAGACACUAGUGAUACAGACAAGUUCAUUUAGAUCACAUGUGUCAAACCCAAGGCCCGAGGGCGAAAACUGGCCGGACAGGUCAUUUUAAAGGGGCCCUUUCUUUAACAUCAACAAUAGACUAUUUUAAUUUAAAAUCAAACAAAAAGUUUUCCGAUUGGCACAUUGGACAAUAACUAUGUCGAAAAACUAUGGAUAAAAUAAAUAAAAACAAUAUUUGGAACUUAGACAAAUAAAACGUAUAUUCCUAGAUACGGUAGCUAUCACAGCCAGCAGAACAGAAAGUGAGCAGAGCUUUAACAGCAAUAGAACGUUUAGGUUAAAAACACUGUCUCCUGCUUUCUAGUAAACAAAGUGUCAUUCAAACUUAGAUUUCCACAUUCCAAUCAACAAACUGACAAACAUAACGAUGGUUGAAGUAAGAAAAGUUAGGUAAGAACUGAUAAGAGACAUUAGCAUAUUCAGGGCUAUGUUAUCGGACGCUCUACGGUAAAAGACCACAUCUUAUACUCCACACAUUUAAGUGUGUAAUGUGUUGUUCUCCAGUAUCUAAUGUAUUCCCAUUUUCUGCUAUUUAUCUGAACCUUGAUUUGCACCACUAUUAAGCCAAUCAC